UAAGGAAUAUUGGUCAAUGGACGCAAGUCUGUACCAGCCAUGCCGCGUGAAGGAUUAAGGCCCUCUGGGUUGUAAACUUCUUUUAUAGGGGAAGAAAUGUGACGGUUCUCCGUCACUUGACAGUACCCUGGGAAUAAGCACCGGCUAACUCCGUGCCAGCAGCCGCGGUAAUACGGAGGGUGCAAGCGUUAUCCGGAUUCACUGGGUUUAAAGGGUGCGUAGGUGGGCAGAUAAGUCAGUGGUGAAAUCUUCCGGCUUAACCGGGAAACUGCCGUUGAUACUAUUUGUCUUGAAUAUUGCGGAGGUAAGCGGAAUAUGUCAUGUAGCGGUGAAAUGCUUAGAUAUGACAUAGAACACCAAUUGCGAAGGCAGCCUACUACACAAUCAUUGACACUGAGGCACGAAAGCGUGGGUAGCGAACA
rnacentral:rRNA from 1 species